CUCCAGGUAUCUUUGGGAGCUGUCAGCUAUGGCAGCCACACUUCCUAGCUGUGAAAGAAUAUGUUCCUGUUUAUGGCAAAGCUGUCACCAAUUGGUAUCCGAUUCUGAUUUGCAUAGGUAACAUUC
ensembl:snoRNA